rnacentral:rRNA from 1 species
ACCGCAUAACGUCGCAAGACCAAAAAAGGGGGGACCUUUCGGGCCUCUUGCCAUCGGAUGUGCCCAGAUGGGAUUAGCUAGUAGGUGGGGUAACGGCUCACCUAGGCGACGAUCCCCUAGCUGGUCUGAGAGGAUGACCAGCCACACUGGAACUGAGACACGGUCCAGACUCCUACGGGAGGCAGCAGUGGGGAAUAUUGCACAAUGGGCGCAAAGCCUGAUGCAGCCAUGCCGCGUGUAUGAAGAAGGCCUUCGGGUUGUAAAGUACUUUCAGCGGGGAGGAAGGGAGUAAAGUUAAUACCUUUGCUCAUUGACGUUACCCGCAGAAGAAGCACCGGCUAACUCCGUG